rnacentral:rRNA from 1 species
AGCGAACGCUGGCGGCAGGCUUAACACAUGCAAGUCGAACGCCCCGCAAGGGGAGUGGCAGACGGGUGAGUAACACGUGGGAACGUACCCUUUGGUUCGGAAUAACUUGGGGAAACUCAAGCUAAUACCGGAUAAGCCCUUAUGGGGAAAGGUUUACUGCCGAAGGAUCGGCCCGCGUCUGAUUAGCUAGUUGGUGAGGUAAUGGCUCACCAAGGCGACGAUCGGUCGCUGGUCUGAGAGGAUGAUCAGCCACACUGGGACUGAGACACGGCCCAGACUCCUACGGGAGGCAGCAGUGGGGAAUAUUGGACAAUGGGGGCAACCCUGAUCCAGCCAUGCCGCGUGAGUGAUGAAGGCCUUAGGGUUGUAAAGCUCUUUUACCCGGGACGAUAAUGACUGUACCGGGAGAAUAAGCCCCGGCUAACUUCGUGCCAGCCGCCGCGGUAA